rnacentral:rRNA from 1 species
UACGGAGGGUGCAAGCAUUAAUCGGAUUUAUUGGGCGUAAAGGGCGCGUAGGCGGGUCUGUAAGUCAUGUGUGAAAUACCAAAGCUCAACUUUGGCACUGCACCUGAAACUGCGGAUCUGGAGGAUUGGCGGAGAAAAUGGAAUUCCACGUGUAGCGGUGAAAUGCGUAGAUAUGUGGAAGAACACCAGUGGCGAAAGCGAUUUUCUAGCUUAUUCCUGACGCUGAGGCGCGAGAGCAAGGGGAGCAAACAGG